UGAGGAAUACCCCUUGCAGCUGUUCUGUGCUGAUGGCGAGUACAAUUCCAUGGCCACGAUCGUCUUCAACACCCCCGGAGAGGAGUGUCCGCAGCCUGUUCCACAGCCCCGCAGGUUCCUACAAUCCCGUGACCCUGGGAAUCUUCACCAUCACCUACUUCUUCCUGGCCUGCUGGACAUACGGCCUGACUGUGUCCGCCGGGGUCUUCAUCCCCUCACUGCUCAUCGGCGCCGCCUG